CGAAAAUUGUAUUAAAUACAUAUUCAUAAAACAGGUCACGUUAUUUUUGGAAUAUUUUGGUGGAUGAUUCAUGAUCACCUCUUUGAUGCUAUAAGGAUCUCCGGUGCUCUGUACCAGCGAGUGGCCACAUAAUCUACAAUAAGGGCUGAAAGUUCAAUCACAUUUUCAAACAUUGGGAAGGAGAUUUGAGUUAAAAGUAUUUUUUGUUCAACCUUUGACACAUCAAUGUGGCUGUAUUUGUAAAAUACAUGCCUGUUACCAUAGCAACGGCGUGCAGUGCCACUCAGUGAUGCCAACUAGGUGCCCAGGAAUGGGAAUUUUCAUUCAAAUUUGUUUGAAUCCAGGAUAAAAUGGAUUAGAAGUUAGGACUAAUUAUUUGAAAAAUUAUUUAUUCAUCAUCUUAAACAGAAUCAUACAAUAAAUCACAAGUUUUAUGUGUUCUCUUCCCAUUUGUAUUACUUUCCACACACAAGUUAAUACGCACUCGUAUUGCUUAUCACGUUAACUUUUUUACCUCACUAUUUUCUUCUAAGAUAAAAUAUAAACAGUUUUUCUUUUUCAAUGAAACAAAAUAAAAGCCUUGAAAAAUUAACAAAUCCACAACCGAAACGAAA